rnacentral:rRNA from 1 species
GACGAACGCUGGCGGCGUGCCUAAUACAUGCAAGUCGAACGCAGUGGGGACGGGUGAGUAACACGUGGGUAACCUCCCAUCAGAGGGGAUAACACUUGGAAACAGGUGCUAAACCGAUACUGAUGGAUGGACCCGCGGUGCAUUAGCUAGUUGGUGAGGUAACGGCUCACCAAGGCCACGAUGCAUAGCUGACCUGAGCGGGUGAGCUGCCACACGGGGACUGAGACCGGGCCCAGACUCUGAGGGGAGGCAGCAGGAGGGAAUGUUCGAAAAGGGACGAAAGUCUGACCGACAAACGCCGGGUAAGUGAAGAAGGUUUUCGGAUCGUAAACCUCUUUUGUUAGAGAAGCGGUAUCUAACCAGAAAGCCACGGCAAACUACGUGCCAGCAGCCGCGGUAAUUC